CUAGAGAAAGCUAUUUAGAACACUCCUGACUGUUAGAAACGAGUCCAUGUGGAGAAAAAUAAGAGAUUGUGAAGUACCUCUGGUGGCUAAAUGCCUACAGGCUCUGGAAACAAACCCUGGAGUAGGGAAACCCUUACUGUAAUCAUCUGCCCAAACUCCAACAGAAGGAGCCGGUGCUUGAGGACAACUCCGGAGUCCAUCUGGCAUCACAGGAUGGGAGUUCCUUCUACUGGAGAUACAGUGGGCUGCCACAAUAGGGAACAGCUGCCUAUGGACUUUACUGUGUCAGACACCACCACUUUACAGUGAUCCCUGUCCAAUGCAUGGAGAACCAUUGGAAGGAAUUCCUCUGCUACAGGCAAACAUUUGUCACUUUUCAUUUGCAAAUAUCAAGGUGAGGAAUUAAACAAAUACAUGAACGCUUGUUUUCAAGCCUGUUUUCUCCUUUGAUAAUUUGUGCAUGGCUUAUGAUUAUGUGUUUCCUGUACAACUUUGGAAUUCCCUGCUAGG
rnacentral:lncRNA from 1 species